UACCUUUGCCACAGCAGCUUGCCUAGACUUAGUGGAUCUUGAUUUCUGAGAUAGGUCUCUUGAUAAACGGGGAAUACCGUCCUCAAUAUUCUGAGGAUGAGUUCCGAGAGAAGAUAUGUUGAGAGUGGGAAACGAAAACGAUUCUGAUGAGGGCUUGUCAACAACAGUGUCCUCCUCCCUCACCGGAGAAGGAUCACCACCAUCUUUGUGUCUGAGAUCACCAGCAGAGCCAUUGUUGAGAUGACCAUUAGCAUGUGGAAAGGUUCCAGCAGGAGCGUUAUUUACAGAGGAACUCCUAGAGCAAAGCCCACCCAUCACCGCCUUUUUUUAUUAUUAAUCAAAAUUAGCUAGCUCAAGCUUCAAGCAAAGGAAGAGUCUUUACGAGACUUGAAAAGGAUGAACAAUGUAAGUAGCAAAGCACUGGAAUAGCAAAUCCUGAUCCGUAUGGAAGCAGCAGUCCAUUAACAUUAAUCGGAGCAAUUGCUCACACAACAACCUGCCAUCAAGACAACCCACACAAGUCAAUAAUAUCUAGAGCAGAGCUACAAAAUUGCAAAACCCUAGCAAAUCAGCAAUCAGUUGCUUAAUCCGAGAUUAGAAGCAAGAGGGAAGACCUACGACGCAGAAGAAGACUCGGAUCUGGGAGUCAGAUCAAACUGAAGUUCGGCUUCGUUCUUGCCUCACCCACCAUGAGCUAAAGUCACCAAGUCCAGCUCAAGAAACGCGACUCGAGAGAAGAGAAGACAGAGAGUUGGAGAGUGUGAGAAUGGUGAAGCUGCCAAAGUUAACCCGAAUGGCCUUUCUCCCUCGAUUCAAAGUCUUCGAUGCACACCUCUUCUUUUUAUUUUUUUGUGUUUUUUAUUAACAAGUUGCCAUAUUAUUAUAGUAUUAUUAUAUUUAUCAUCAAAUAUCGAUUACUACAACAAUAAAACAUUAUAGUUUAUUCAAUUUUGGUUUUAGGUAUAGUUCGGCAAUUUUAAAAUGAAUCGGAAUUUUUCAUAUAGUAAAAUAUGUACUGUGAAAUAUAUAUUUUUUAAUCUUUAAAAAUAAAUUAUGAUCUUUCAAUAUUUUAACAAUUUUAUGUUUAAUAUUUUUUCUAGUCGUAUCGUUGUAUUUUUGUCGUUUUUGUUUUUCAGCUACUAUUUCAAAUUAGUGUUUGGUUUUAUUCUAUUUAACUUCAAAUGUCUCUUUUUAGAUCUUAGAUGUCUUGCAUUUUUAAAGUUUUGUAUAAAAAUCAUUUACUGGUUUAAAAUUUCAUUGUACGAGCAAGAACCUAAAAUUAAAGUUCAGCGGCAAUUAACCAAAUUUCUCCUUAACAAAACUAUUUUCAAUUAAAAGUUAAUAAAGAGACUAUUAUAUUUUAUCAAAGAAAAAUGUGUUAUUGUUUUCAAUAAUGGCCAACAAAACGGAAGACAAUAUCAUCCAUAUCUACCUCGUUGUACUGUGCUUGGGUUCUCUUCUUCCUGGAUCUUACGUUGGUAGUCUUGUUCAAACCUAUCCAGCGCAUGGAGUUCAUGAUACAAGUCCUGAAAGCAUAGCAGACCAAAAAGAGUAAGUUGCCAUCCAGAGAGUCAAGCAGGACCAAUUAUAUCACGAAAAAUACGUACAGCUGUGAAAUGAACAAAAGUCAUCAGCUGGUGCAUUAUGGUUUCUGCUUCCUGUUUCAAUUGUUUCUGGGGAGUAAAUUCAGAGCCCAACCUAAAUCAUGAUAACACACAACUAAUGAAAAAAAGAAUAGACCCAUCGUGCGAGCAAAGCAACAGGAUCAUGUUGGAACCUGUCAAAGAAGCGAUCCAGGUUGUGGUACUGAGGGUCCUUGCAACGAUUCCCAAAACGCACCACCUCUCCAGAAAAAAUCUUCAACUCUUCUCUGUUCAAUAAUACAUAACUUUGAGCGACAAACAGAAACCAGUGUAGAGGAGUAGUCAGUAGUCAGUAGUGUUUACCUUUUAUCAGCAGCAGCAAUCCUCAAGAGUUCAUCCAUAUCCUUAGAGAUUAGGUUUUGCACACCUUCUGAAGGCAACACAGCCUCUUUCAAAUGUGUGAUGCUAUCUUUAGACAGAGAAUGCAUAAGAUUGGCGCCUUUAACAAUGGUGUUAGCAACUUCGAAGGACAAGAUUGAGAUCUUAUUCCCUUUAAUGGUGGUGGCAGAAGAAAAACCAGCAUUUAGAUUCAGGUUCGUCAUGCUACUCCCAAGUGUGUCCAAUACAUCCACAGCUUUACCAAGUCCCAUAGUGCCAGCCCUGCCUAACAGUGAGCUUACUUCGGAAACCUAUAAGAAGAGAAACACCUCAAGUCAAGUCCAAAAAGAGAAAGAGAUAAACUCAGGUAACAGUUUUAUUUACCUUUGCCACAGCAGCUUGCCUAGACUUAGUGGAUCUUGAUUUCUGAGAUAGGUCUCUUGAUAAACGGGGAAUACCGUCCUCAAUAUUCUGAGGAUGAGUUCCGAGAGAAGAUAUGUUGAGAGUGGGAAACGAAAACGAUUCUGAUGAGGGCUUGUCAACAACAGUGUCCUCCUCCCUCACCGGAGAAGGAUCACCACCAUCUUUGUGUCUGAGAUCACCAGCAGAGCCAUUGUUGAGAUGACCAUUAGCAUGUGGAAAGGUUCCAGCAGGAGCGUUAUUUACAGAGGAACUCCUAGAGCAAAGCCCACCCAUCACCGCCUUUUUUUAUUAUUAAUCAAAAUUAGCUAGCUCAAGCUUCAAGCAAAGGAAGAGUCUUUACGAGACUUGAAAAGGAUGAACAAUGUAAG
rnacentral:lncRNA from 1 species